rnacentral:rRNA from 1 species
UACAGAGGGGGCAAGCGUUGUUCAGAAUUAUUGGGCGUAAAGGGCGCGUAGGCGGCUUGGCAAGUGGAAGGUGAAAUCCCUCAGCUUAACCGAGGAACUGCCCUCCAAACUGCUUUGCUUGAGGCCGGGAGAGGCGAGUGGAAUUCCCAGUGUAGCGGUGAAAUGCGCAGAUAUCAGGAGGAACACCGAUGGCGAAGGCAGGUCUCUGGGCAUUAACUGACGCUGAGGAGCGAAAGCAUGGGGAGCGAACAGG